AGGCAGGCUCAACCUGCCUAGUCAUUGGGGUAAUGUUGCCACCCUAGUGGGCCUGGAAAGCAGAGCAUCUGAGCGGAAGAGGAUUAUUCUUGAGCCUUAAGAUCACCUAGGCUCACAGCUGCAAAGAAGUUUUGCCUUAGGAUAAAUUGUACAUCAGAUUUUACCUAUUUCUGAUUUAAAUGAUCUUUAGAUGAGACUUUGGACUUUAUAGUUGAUGUUGGAAUGAGUACCUGAAGGGGAGAUUCUCAAAGUCCUAAAGACACAUUGCUGAACAUUUAAUCUGCUUCUCAUGCUGCGAAUAUCAGUGCUAUUCAAAAAAAAACUGAAACAAGAAAUUAUAGAUAAUUCAAACGGGUUGGGAUUUAUUCAAGAAGGGUGUUGGAGACCUCCA
rnacentral:lncRNA from 1 species